rnacentral:rRNA from 1 species
UUAAGCGUGUAGGCUGGUUUUCCAGGCAAAUCCGGAAAAUCAAGGCUGAGGCGUGAUGACGAGGCACUACGGUGCUGAAGCAACAAAUGCCCUGCUUCCAGGAAAAGCCUCUAAGCAUCAGGUAACAUCAAAUCGUACCCCAAACCGACACAGGUGGUCAGGUAGAGAAUACCAAGGCGCUUGAGAGAACUCGGGUGAAGGAACUAGGCAAAAUGGUGCCGUAACUUCGGGAGAAGGCACGCUGAUAUGUAGGUGAAGUCCCUCGCGGAUGGAGCUGAAAUCAGUCGAAGAUACCAGCUGGCUGCAACUGUUUAUUAAAAACACAGCACUGUGCAAACACGAAAGUGGACGUAUACGGUGUGACGCCUGCCCGGUGCCGGAAGGUUAAUUGAUGGGGUUAGCGGUAA